GACGGACGCUGGCGGCACGCUUAACACAUGCAAGUCGAACGGAAAGGCCCUGCUUUUGUGGGGUGCUCGAGUGGCGAACGGGUGAGUAACACGUGAGUAACCUGCCCUUGACUUUGGGAUAACUUCAGGAAACUGGGGCUAAUACCGGAUAGGAGCUCCUGCUGCAUGGUGGGGGUUGGAAAGUUUCGGCGGUUGGGGAUGGACUCGCGGCUUAUCAGCUUGUUGGUGGGGUAGUGGCUUACCAAGGCUUUGACGGGUAGCCGGCCUGAGAGGGUGACCGGCCACAUUGGGACUGAGAUACGGCCCAGACUCCUACGGGAGGCAGCAGUGGGGAAUAUUGCACAAUGGGCGGAAGCCUGAUGCAGCAACGCCGCGUGCGGGAUGACGGCCUUCGGGUUGUAAACCGCUUUCGCCUGUGACGAAGCGUGAGUGACGGUAAUGGGUAAAGAAGCACCGGCUAACUACGUG
rnacentral:rRNA from 1 species